rnacentral:misc_RNA from 1 species
UCAAGAAAAGGACUCUCUCCCGAACUUCCAAUAUGAAGAGAUUGUACUUUUAUAAAAGGCGUAAAAAUUAUUCUUAAUGAGGAGGUUCAAGAAAAGGAUUCUCUCAUGAACUUCCUUAUCUUAAAGUGACUAUGCAACGUUUCUCCUGGACUCUUUGUUAUUUCCCGAUCUAUAAAAUGACAUAAAUGCUAUAAAAUAAAAAUACACUAUUUCCUAACUCUAUAUUGUG